UGAAGUAAAAGGUUUAAAAAAAAAAAAAAAAAAAAAAAAAAAAAAGCCCUCGGACUUUGGGAGGCUUCCUAGCACCACGCCGAGCUUAAAGGCGGCCUCGAAGGCCACACCUCCUGCUAGACAGGCAGGAAAAUCCCCAAGGAGCUUCGGAAAUUUCGCUUGGCUUGGGCAGAGCUAAGUCGGGGACAGAGCCCCUGUUUUGUGGCAAAGGAAGAACUCCUGUCCCUGAGACAAUGAGGGCUGUUGCAGGUGCACCUGUUUUCUGAUGACACUACAGACUGAAUACAUAACAAACUCAAGGUACCAAGCAUCACUGAAAAAUAUUUCCCAUAACAGAAAAAUGCUUUGCCUUAACCCCUUCCAACUAGCGUGUGUGUAUGUUCUCUAGCUUCCUUUCCUCCAAAAUAGAGAAAAAUCAAGAGACAGCUGUAUUACUUAUAUUAAAACACCGCCCUUUUGAGUUGGUGCAACUGCUUUACUUGACAUGAUAGAAUGGAAACUUUACCAAAUUAAAAAAUAAAAAUAAAAAUU